rnacentral:rRNA from 1 species
UGGCGGCGUGCUUACACAUGCAAGNNNNACGAGAACGGUACUAGCUUGCUAGCAUGUCAGCUAAGUGGCGGACGGGUGAGUAAUGUAUAGUUAAUUUGCCCCUUGGAGAGGGAUAGCCACUGGAAACGGUGAUUAAUACCUCAUACUCCUUCUCUCUUAAUGAGAGUUGGGAAAUGUUUUUUCGCCAAGGGAUAAGACUAUAUGGUAUCAGGUAGUUGGUGGGGUAAGAGCCUACCAAGCCAAUGACGCCUAGCUGGUCUGUGAGGAUGAUCAGCCACACUGGAACUGAGACACGGUCCAGACUCCUACGGGAGGCAGCAGUGGGGAAUAUUGCACAAUGGAGGAAACUCUGAUGCAGCAACGCCGCGUGGAGGAUGACGCAUUUCGGUGUGUAAACUCCUUUUAUAUGGGAAGAUAAUGACGGUACCAUAUGAAUAAGCACCGGGCUAACUCCGUGCCAGCAGCCGCGGUAAUACGGAAGGGUGCAAGCGUUACUCGGAAUCACUGGGCGUAAAGCGCGCGCAGGCGGGCCUUUUAAGUUGGAUGUGGAAAGCCUAUGGCUCAACCCUAGAACUGCC